CGUAAUAAAUCCACAAAACGUGCUUUACAGCAUUAUAGUCGAAACUAGUUUUAAAGAAUAUACGCAACACCAAAAGUUUAUUAGGAUCUCAGUUUAUAAUAAACGUGGAAGCAAAAUGUCUAUGGUUUGGUUUAUCCAUGAUGAGAACAGACUAGAAUUAUGGAACCUUGACCUUCCUGGAUUCUCUGAUAACAGCUCACCCUGACACUGAAGCCAUCGACCCUGACCCACUGAAUGACACUGGUGAAGCACAGGUGUCCUUAGGGAAUCAAACCCAUGGCCUUGGUUUUGCAAGCAUCAUGCUGAACAACCUGAGCUAUAGGAACACCUUUUAAAAGCAAUUUUGGAAGUGAAUACCUUCGAGAGAGAAGCGGUAAAGUUCAUUAGUCAGAUCAGAGACCAAAUCACCAGAGGGGCUGACCUCGCGCAGAUGGUAAAUCCUUUUGAUGAAAUCUGUGACCACCUCAUUAAUCACAUCCCCAUACUGAACCGAGUCUUUUGGAUGAAGCAUACGUUUGUUCAGCACUGCACGCAGGUUGUACCAUUUUUCUCCUUCCCUGUUGAUAAACAUAUAAUAAAAGCUCUGUUCAGAUA